rnacentral:misc_RNA from 1 species
UAAUUGCGAUAAGUAGUGUGAUUUGCAUCAUUUGUGAAUCAUCGAAUCUUUGAACGCAUGUUGCACUCUACUCUGUAGAGUAUAUCUGUUUGAGUAUCAUAAAACCCUGUUACAACUGUAACAAUUUGAACUAUCAAGUAUACUUGUCGUUCCAAAUGCAUGAAACAACAGUGUGGUAGAUAUUGCACUCGACUUUCCAUCAAUAAUUGAUCUCAAAUCAGACAAGAGUACCCGCUGAACUUAA